UACAGAGGUCCCAAGCGUUGUUCGGAUUCACUGGGCGUAAAGGGUGCGUAGGCGGUCGGGUAAGUCUGACGUGAAAUCUCCAAGCCUGACUUGGAACUGCGUUGGAUACUAUCCGGCUUGAGGAAUGGAGGGGAGACUGGAAUACUUGGUGUAGCAGUGAAAUGCGUAGAUAUCAAGUGGAACACCAGUGGCGAAGGCGAGUCUCUGGACAUUUCCUGACGCUGAGGCACGAAAGCCAGGGGAGCAAACGGG
rnacentral:rRNA from 1 species